rnacentral:rRNA from 1 species
AAGCAGGGGACCUGAGAGGGCCUUGUGCUGGGGGAGCGGCCGAUGUCCGAUUAGCUUGUUGGUGGGGUAACGGCCUACCAAGGCUGCGAUCGGUAGCUGGUCUGAGAGGAUGAUCAGCCACACUGGGACUGAGACACGGCCCAGACUCCUACGGGAGGCAGCAGUGGGGAAUUUUGGACAAUGGGGGCAACCCUGAUCCAGCCAUGCCGCGUGCGGGAAGAAGGCCUUCGGGUUGUAAACCGCUUUUAGCCGGGAAGAAAAAGCCUACGGAUAACACCCGUGGGUUUUGACGGUACCGGCGGAAUAAGCACCGGCUAACUACGUGCCAGCAGCCGCGGUAAUACGUAGGGUGCGAGCGUUAAUCGGAAUUACUGGGGCGUAAAGCGUGCGCAGGCGGUUCGUUGUGUCGGUGGUGAAAGCCCCGGGCUU